AUUGAACGCUGGCGGCGUGCCUAACACAUGCAAGUCGAGCGGAUAAAGGGAGCUUUCGCCUGUAUUCAGCGGCGGACGGGUGAGUAAGGCCUAGGAAGCUGCCUGAUAGUUGGGGAUAACGUCCGGUAACGGGCGCUAAUACCGCAUCCGUCCUGAUGUAGAACGUGGGGGAUCUUCGGACCUCAAGCUAUCUGAUGAGCCUAAGUCGGAUUAGCUAGUUGGUUAGGUAAAGGCCUACCAAGGCGACGAUCCGUAACUGGUCUGAGAGGAUGAUCAGUCACACUGGAACUGAGACACGGUCCAGACUCCUACGGGAGGCAGCAGUGGGGAAUAUUGCACAAUGGGCGAAAGCCUGAUGCAGCCAUGCCGCGUGUGUGAAGAAGGUCUUCGGAUUGUAAAGCACUUUAAGUUGGGAGGAAGGGAAGUAAGUUAAUCCCUUCCUGUUUUGACGUUACCAAAAGAGUAAGCCCCGGCUAACUUCGUG
rnacentral:rRNA from 1 species